UCCUGGCAACCGGAGAACACGGAUUUAAGGCAACUCUUUAAAGCAUUAUUGCCUGUCUGAACAGCCAGCUCCUCACUACACAGGUGACAUGAGGAUCUUCCAGCCAACUUCUAUCCCUGUCCUGGAGUGCAUGGCAGAGCUGCACAAGAUAGAGCCAAGCUGAGGUGGAAGAAGCCUCUGUUUCCCUGAGGACAGAUGGAGCUUCCCCUCUCUUGUAUUUUCAUCCUUUGGGGGAUGGUGAUGAUGAGGGGUUUGUAUCCCUCCGUCCCUGAUCUUUUUGCCAUCCCUAAUCAGCCUAUUAAGAGGGAGGAAACCAGGAUGACAAGUGUUAUCCCAUCAAACUGCAGUAAACUAGGAAGCUGCUCAUGGUGGAUAUUUGUCUGAGCCUCAGCAGGGCAGGGUAUUUAUUUUUAUAUUGCUGCUGGAUGAUCAUUUUCAUCCCUUUUGUUCUUCACAUGUUUCUUUCCUAACACAGCUGAUGAGACCCACAGUUUGUUCAGGAUCAGGGAAAGCAUCUGACUCCCAGAGAGCCCUUCCCCUAGUGAAUAUGGAAUAACUAGCACAAGGACAGGAUCCUGUGUUAUUUGGUGGCUGGUGCUGGGAUUUCUGGCCUGAGAGUGACACUCAAGAUGUGGGGACAUGAGGAAAUUGUUUAACUGUGACUUGGGUGGGUGAAAGUCCUGCUAUCUACCG